rnacentral:misc_RNA from 1 species
UCAAGAUAUGAAAAGACUCCAAUUUAAAAAUUGGAAAUAUUCAAAUAAAAAAAAGAAGUUAAAAUCAAAUGAUAAGAUUAAGUCAAUGUUUAAAAGUUAUUACUUAUAUUACUUAGAUAUAAUUAUUACCUAAGAUAUUUAUGAAGAUACAGAAUAUGUAUUAUAUUUUCAACCAUUUAUUAUUUAUUAUUACAAUAAUUUAGUUUAAAUCCAUAGAACAGGUAAAAUACAAAAAAGUACUUGAUUUUGAUAUGUAUUCUAUCAUCCACCAAUAACUCAACCUGAUAAAAAAAGCCCUCGUUAUUUUAGUUAAUUUAUUUGGAAUCAGUAUUCGGAAUCAUUAAUUGAAUUAGUUCUGAACUAGUUCGUUGUGAAACUGAGUGAGUUGCUUAUAUUCCUUCCAAUAAAACAACUUAUGGUAACCUCUAUGAUAUCCGUCAAUUUGUUACUCGUCACUUCAGUUCUUUGCGAACUGCAAUAAAAAAAUGUCUUUUUUGUUUUCAUUUCGGAAUAGGAAUGGAUUGAGAACAGAACUAUCUAGUUGCAACUCUUCAAUUCCAUAAGAAACCGCACGAAAAGCCAUUACAUUCUUAAAGCUAACACCGCCCCACACCACAAGAUAAUUAUUAUUACUACAGAUAAUUUUUAUUGAACGUUCAAAUAGCAAUAGGAAUUUGAAUGAUAUUUUAAAAAGUGUCCUCAAGAUAUUGCAUUGAAUUACCUCCUUCAAUCUCGACGAUUGAAGAUGGAU